UACAGAGGUGCCGAGCGUUAGGCGGAAUCACUGGGCUUAAAGCGUGUGUAGGCGGACUUCUAAGUACCUUGUGAAAUCCCACGGCUCACCCGUGGAACUGCUGGGUAUACUGGUCGUCUUGAGCCACCUAGGGGCGAGCGGAACAAAUGGUGGAGCGGUGAAAUGCGUAGAUAUCAUUUGGAACGCCAACGGUGAAAACAGCUCGCUGGGGGUGUGCUGACGCUGAGGCGCGAAAGCUAGGGGAGCAAACAGG
rnacentral:rRNA from 1 species